CUUCGAGCUCACUGUUGUUUUGGAGCAUGAGGCAGUUAUUGGUGGAUUCAUAAAACAUGAACUUGCCCACCACACCAACUACUCGAAGCUUUUGAGCCUGGCUGAGCUUUCAGGGUGUGACUACUUCAGGAAAUUAAAGAUUGAUCAGAGGAAUAAAUAUACGUCUCAUCGCAUUAUUGAUGAUAUGCUGGAGAUCUUAGCAGAAGUCAUUGAGGAGCCAAUUCUCGGUGAUAUCAAAUCAUCACAGGCAAUUAGUCUUGAAGCUAAUGAGACCACAGAUGUGUCAGUGUCUAGGCAACUUGAUUUGCAUGUCUGAUACCUGGACAAAGAAGGAAAUGUGUUCAAUCAGUUCCUGGACUUGGUCACUGUUCCUGAUGGCAAAGCAGACACUAUUGUGACAGCCAUCGAGAACAUAAUUUUGAAGAAGGACAUACCAACAGAGAAACUCUAUGGACUCGGGACUGACGGGGCAGCUGUUAUGACGGGCCGUGUGAAUGGGGUUGUGAAGCAACAAUUUUCCAAAGAUUGUGGCUGUGGCUCGUGCUGCCUGCAAGGACUCAUCAAAUGAUGUAAGAUACAUGGCCACUUUCAGGGAGCACCUUCAAGAACUUUAUUUAUAUUUCAGAAACAGUGCACGUCGUACAGCAACACUCAAUGCAGCAUCCUCUGGGUGUCAGUGACUUGAAAAUAAAGGUAGUAGUAAUUUAAAACCAUUGUAGUUAUCUUUUCCCUGUUUACUAAUCAUUAUGCCUAAGGUAGUAAUGUACAGAAAUGUGAUACCUUAACUCUUUCCCCACCAGCGUUUUUGAAAAAGUUGCCAGCCACCGAAAGGAGUGAAAUUAUUUCCUUUAUGAAAUUAAUUCCUCAUGAGGCCAAAACUCAGGAACUCUCGCAAAACUGAUGCCAUGCAAUAAAACCAUAAAACUAAUCUGGAGAAGAGAUCUCCAAAGACAACAAACAGCACCUCUCCCCUUGUUCAUUUACGACCCCCUUCUCCUCUCUGCAUCUCCCUCUCUUCCCCCCAAAAGUUUUCACUCAAAGUUCAUUAAGAAUAUGUAUAUCCCACAUAUCAUGAAUCCUGUGAACCUGUUGUUUUUCCCCCUUCAUGUUUGGUAUCAUUUUAAAGGGGUGGUUUACUGCGAUUUCACUUUUUUCAUUUUAAAUAGUGUGUAAUGUUGCUGUUGGUGCAUGAACAGUAUCUGCAAAGUUGCUGCGCUGAAAGUUCAACGUAAGUGGAGAUAUUAAAAAUCAGGAAGUUUAAUGCCUACAAAAACGACUCAUAUGGGACUACAACGAGAUACUUCCCGGGUUGCAUAUGUAACAAACCCAUAAAUUUGCAUCAACCCCUCCCUCCGGAACAUGCCAAAGAGAGGGCAAGGCCAUGUUCUGCGGCUUUGUCGAAGAGGAAGAGUUAUA